GAUUUUUCAAAUUCCCACCAACCUAAUAUAAAAAGUUAUCAGCAUAUUCCACAAAAUAAAAUAUAGACCAAUCUCAGCUGUCAAUUAAUCUCUCCGUAUCAGCCUCACGAUCCUACUCAUCCAACGGCUUAUAUUCAACCUCUAGAACUUUCUCAUCCUUUUAUCUUCACCUUCUCUUUAUACAAAUUCAUCAUUUUCGUGCUUGUGCUCUGCUCGUGCCACACUCUCUUUAGGGUUUAACGCUUUGUCUCUUUGCUCCUCGAUAUUCUCUACAGAACUAUUACCAUGACGAAGUGCUAUCCCACAGUGAGUGAGGAGUACGUUAAGGCUGUUGAUAAAGCCAAAAGAAAUCUCAGAGGACUCAUCGCUGAGAAGAACUGUGCUCCUCUUAUGCUCCGUUUAGCAUGGCACUCUGCUGGUACCUAUGAUGUAUGCUCCAAAACUGGAGGUCCAUUUGGUACCAUGAGGUUCAAGGCUGAGCUAAGCCAUGGCGCCAAUAACGGUGUCGACAUUGCCAUCAGGCUAUUGGAACCCAUCAAGGAGCAGUUCCCUACUCUCUCUUAUGCUGAUUUCUAUCAGUUGGCUGGAGUGGUUGCUGUUGAAGUUACUGGAGGACCUGAUGUGCCCUUCCACCCUGGUAGAGAGGACAAGACAGAGCCACCUCUUGAAGGUCGCCUGCCUGAUGCCACCAAGGGUUCUGACCAUCUGAGGGAUGUGUUUGUUAAGCAAAUGGGUCUUUCUGACAAGGACAUUGUCGCACUCUCUGGUGGCCAUACCUUGGGGAGGUGCCACAAGGAACGUUCAGGUUUUGAGGGACCAUGGACUGCUAAUCCACUUAUCUUCGACAACUCCUACUUCAAGGAACUUUUGAGCGGGGAAAAGGAGGGUCUUUUACAGUUGCCAUCAGACAAGGCUCUCCUCAGCGAUCCUGUCUUCCGCCCAUUGGUUGAGAAAUAUGCAGCGGAUGAAGAUGCUUUCUUUGCAGACUAUGCCGAGGCUCACAUGAAACUCUCUGAAUUGGGAUUUGCUGAGGCUUAAGCUGGAGAGCUGGGAGUGGCGCCAUGUUUUUCUAUUAAAGUUUCACUUCUAGUGGGCAGCUUAUUCGAACUGGUUUCAGUUUGGCUCUAGACAAAGACGUGACUACUUGGGCUUUGGCAUUAAUGCUAUAGAAAUCGGUUCAAAGAUUCGUGAAGCCUUUUGUCGAUUUAAAUGCUAAAAGUGUUGCCUCCGGUUGCCCUACUGGAUUUAUUUGGUUGUGCAUAUCUUAUUUGGACCAGUCUUCUCAAAUCUUUUGUUGUUUAGGCCGGUCCUUUGUGACUUGUAACGUGAUUAUAUGAGAACUCUUUUUUAAUUUUAUUUAGUA